AAAACCUGGAAAGGUUCAACUUGGGCUGCAAGUAAAACGACAGCUCCACAGAAAGUCUGGAAUAAGAGUUUAAAAUGAAAAUUCUGUGGAAAAUUAUGGCCUUGAUAAGGAUAAUUAUCUACCACAUAUUGUUUAUAAAAAGGACCAUAAUAUAUUGCUGCAGGAGAAGUUCCAAGCCAUUCGGCUUUGUUUAAGAUAUGGCUAAUAAUGCUCAUCACAAGGUUUUCAUUGCUCUCUUUAUAUUUAUCUUCAUCAUUUUUGCUCUGAUACAGCCGUCAACCUCCGCUCGUCAGCUUCUAGUCAUCACGACCAGGAGGACCAAGAAGAUACGGAUAAUGAAUCGAUAUCCCUUCCGAGGCUUACGUGAGAAGCUCAAUAUAAUGUGCAAAUGAUAUACUGGGAAUGAUAUAUAAACAACUUAACUAGUAUGUUUUAUUUUAUUUUCCUUGGUCUUUUUCAUCGGGUUUGUCUGUUAAAUUCGACAAUUGUAUUAGAAAUAAGUCAAUUACAUCAGUCACUUGCCUUGGUGUGCAAGUGUGUUUUGACUUUCGAUAUUAUUGCCAAUAAAUUUUAAAUAUUUUGUUUUCGCAUAAA